rnacentral:rRNA from 1 species
UACGUAGGCAGCAAGCGUUGUUCGGAGUUACUGGGCGUAAAGGGUGUGUAGGCGGUUCUCUAAGUCUGGUGUGAAAUCUCCCGGCUCAACUGGGAGGGUGCGCCGAAAACUGGAGGGCUAGGGUGCGGGAUGGGAGAGUGGAAUUCCUGGUGUAGCGGUGAAAUGCGUAGAUAUCAGGAGGAACACCUGUGGUGUAGACGGCUCUCUGGACCGCAACUGACGCUGAAACACGAAAGCGUGGGUAGCAAACAGG